AUCAACUUGUUAUCAUACGACUAACUCUUUGUUUCAUCUCUUAAUAGCUUUCAUUUUAAACUAUGGCUUCUUUCGGCAUGGUUUCUCUUUUUGCAGUUUUGCUUGUCGCUUUUUGUUAGCAUCUAAAAUAUUUAUCCGGUUCAAAAUUUAAUUAUUACAUACAUAUAUAUACAUGUAAAUUUUUUUUAGUAUAAAAGAGAUUGCAGUCUUAAAAUAAAGGAGUGUUUGCAAUCAUUGCGAUUCAAAUCAUGUGUAUCAAACUCAGAAGCAUGCAAUCGUGACAUAGAUUGUUUGGGCCAGUGUAAACAUGGUGGCUUUUGUGACUUGAUAACUAAAAAAUAUAGUUCCUUACCAGUGUCGGAGCAGCUACCAUCUAACAUUGCAGCAAUGGUGGAUGCUAUGUAGCAAUGAUUGAAACUGCAAAGGAUUGCCCACCAGCUUGUUAAGCCCAUAACAUUCAAGGUGGAAUUUGUGUCUACAAGUGUUGUGCCUGAGAAAAAUAAUUUUUUUUUCAAAAAACUCUAAAUUUAAGCCUUUCAACAAUGUCAUAUAUUAUAAGAUAAAUUUUGUAUCCAAAAAAUUGGCAAAUAAAAUAUUAGUGAAUAAAAAGGUUGUUAAAGAGAAUUAA